rnacentral:lncRNA from 1 species
GGCCUUUCUUGGAGAAACAAAUUGAAGAGGAAAAAUCUUCUAAAAAAAGAGGACGACGAUGAUGAGCGAGGAAAAUGAACUACCAAAAGCACUACAGCGUUUUGCUCGAAAGAAACCAACAACAUGAUUGUGACAAGGUUAGAUGUUUUUGGUGUUUUGUUUUUGCUUCUUAAGCAGUUCAUGAAUAUAUUUCAUCAAUCACGCUACGACAGUCAUGUAGUGAG